AUACGGAGGGUGCAAGCGUUAUUCGGAAUCACUGGGCGUAAAGGACGCGUAGGCGGGUUGGCAAGUCAGAUGUGAAAUCCUACAGCUUAACUGUAGAACUGCAUUUGAAACUGCUAACCUAGAGUAUGGGAGGGGGAGAUGGAAUUAGUGGUGUAGGGGUAAAAUCCGUAGAUAUCGCUAGGAAUACCGAAAGCGAAGGCGAUCUCCUGGAACAUAACUGACGCUAAGGCGUGAAAGCGUGGGGAGCAAACAGGAUUAGAUACCCUAGUAGUCC
rnacentral:rRNA from 1 species